rnacentral:sRNA from 1 species
AAUCUGUUGUGGGCAAAUGAAGUGAAUAUGAACGUCCAGACCACCAGCUGUAAUUAUUUUUCCCUCUCCGGCUAUCACUUCUGUACUGGGUCCAAUAAUUAUAUCAACUCUAGACAUAAUAUCUGGAUUUCCAGCUUUACCAAUACCAACGAUAUUACCAUCCUUUAACCCAAUAUCGGCUUUUACGAUACCAGACCAGUCUAGGAUUAGAGCAUUAGUAAUAACAGUAUCAACCGCACCAUCCCGACGAGAUACUUGGCUUUGCCCCAUGCCGUCUCU